rnacentral:tRNA from 1 species
GGGGUUAUAGCUCAAUAGUUAGAGCACAUGCUUAGCAUGCACGAGGUCCUGGGUUCAAUCCCCAGUACCUCCA